ACUCCUACGGGAGGCAGCAGUAGGGAAUCUUCCACAAUGGGCGCAAGCCUGAUGGAGCAACACCGCGUGAGUGAAGAAGGGUUUCGGCUCGUAAAGCUCUGUUGUUAAAGAAGAACACGUAUGAGAGCAACUGUUCAUACGUUGACGGUAUUUAACCAGAAAGUCACGGCUAACUACGUGCCAGCAGCCGCGGUAAUACGUAGGUGGCAAGCGUUAUCCGGAUUUAUUGGGCGUAAAGAGAGUGCAGGCGGUUUUCUAAGUCUGAUGUGAAAGCCUUCGGCUUAACCGGAGAAGUGCAUCGGAAACUGGAUAACUUGAGUGCAGAAGAGGGUAGUGGAACUCCAUGUGUAGCGGUGGAAUGCGUAGAUAUAUGGAAGAACACCAGUGGCGAAGGCGGCUACCUGGUCUGCAACUGACGCUGAGACUCGAAAGCAUGGGUAGCGAACAGGAUUAGAUACCCUGGUAGGAUAGCG
rnacentral:rRNA from 1 species